rnacentral:rRNA from 1 species
GACGAACGCUGGCGGCGUGCCUAAUACAUGCAAGUCGAGCGAAGUUUUUCUGGUGCUUGCACUAGAAAAACUUAGCGGCGAACGGGUGAGUAACACGUAAAGAACCUGCCUCAUAGACGGGGACAACUAUUGGAAACGAUAGCUAAUACCGGAUAACAGCAUAAAUCGCAUGAUAUAUGUUUAAAAGUUGGUUUCGGCUAACACUAUGAGAUGGCUUUGCGGUGCAUUAGCUAGUUGGUGGGGUAAAGGCCUACCAAGGCGACGAUGCAUAGCCGACCUGAGAGGGUGAUCGGCCACACUGGGACUGAGACACGGCCCAGACUCCUACGCUAGGCAGCAGUAGGGAAUCUUCCGCAAUGGGCGAAAGCCUGACGGAGCAACGCCGCGUGAGUGAAGAAGGAUUUCGGUUCGUAAAGCUCUGUUGUUAGGGAAGAAUGAUUGUAUAGUAACUAUAUACAGUAGAGACGUACCUAACCAGAAAGCCACGCA